GGCGUGCUUAACACAUGCAAGUCGAACGAAGCGGUUACAGGGAUUCCCUUCGGGGAGGAACGGUAACUGUCUGAGUGGCGGACGGGUGAGUAACGCGUGGGCAACCUGCCCCAUACCGGGGGAUAACAGCCGGAAACGGCUGCUAAUACCGCAUACGCCAAGGAGGCUGCAUAGCUUCCUGGGGAAAACUCCGGUGGUAUGGGAUGGGCCCGCGUCUGAUUAGCUCGUUGGCGGGGUAACGGCCCACCAAGGCGACGAUCAGUAGCCGGCCUGAGAGGGCGGCCGGCCACAUUGGGACUGAGACACGGCCCAGACUCCUGCGGGAGGCAGCAGUGGGGAAUAUUGCACAAUGGGGGAAACCCUGAUGCAGCGACGCCGCGUGAGCGAUGAAGUAUCUCGGUAUGUAAAGCUCUAUCAGCAGGGAAGAAAGUGUCAGUACCUGACUAAGAAGCCCCGGCUAACUACGUGCCAGCAGCCGCGGUAAUACGUAGGGGGCAAGCGUUAUCCGGAUUCACUGGGCGUAAAGGGAGCGCAGGCGGCACGGCAAGUCUGGUGUGAAAACCCGGGGCUCAACCCCGGGACUGCAUUGGAAACUGCCGGGCUGGAGUGUCGGAGGGGUAAGCGGAAUUCCUAGUGUAGCGGUGAAAUGCGUAGAUAUUAGGAGGAACACCAGUGGCGAAGGCGGCUUACUGGACGAUGACUGACGCUGAGGCUCGAAAGCGUGGGGAGCAAACAGGAUUAGAUACCCUGGUAGUCCACGCCGUA
rnacentral:rRNA from 1 species